rnacentral:rRNA from 1 species
UACGUAGGGUGCGAGCGUUGUCCGUAAUUACUGGGCGUAAAGAGCUCGUAGGCGGUUUGUCGCGUCGUCUGUGAAAUCCUCCAGCUUAACUGGGGGCGUGCAGGCGAUACGGGCAGACUUGAGUACUACAGGGGAGGACUGGAAUUCCUGGUGUAGCGGUGAAAUGCGCAGAUAUCAGGAGGAACACCGGUGGCGAAGGCGGGUCUCUGGGUAGUAACUGACGCUGAGGAGCGAAAGCAUGGGUAGCGAACAGGAUUAGAUACCCU